AUAAAGAUUAUUAGCUUUUAAAAUUUAUUUUCCGAGUCUCUGCAGAUAUGAUAACUAUCAGCAUAAAUACCACAGUAACCCUCGCUCAUCUCCAGUCCGACGCUACCCGUUGACAAGUGACAGUUGAUCGUGAUCAGUCAUUGGACGCUAUAUUGGUUCCUUUCUUGAAUCAGUCCCGCUGAUUCGUCCCCGCGAUUGGUCUCGAAUUCUGUUGUUGGAUUAG